AAGGUUUUGUUUUCUUUAUAAAGUCCAACGUGUACCUAAUUCAAAGGACAUUUCCCCAUCCCCCACGCUAGUUGAUUUACACGAGUUUGUACAAUGGACACGGAACUAAAAUUAUACAAUGUUUUUACAAGAAAAUGACGAUGUGGUCACGUAUUUGUUUUAUAUGAAUAUAUUACGACUUACGAGUACGAAGUACGUCGCUUUUGACAGGGUGAUUUGAGCGAAAACAAAAGGGUUUUGAGAAUAAGGUUUUCAGAAGAGCGCAUGGAUUGUGGACCCAUGUUUGAUAAAGGAUUAAAUUACUGGAAAUAAAGAAUAAAACAAAGCUAUUGAAGUAAGAGAAACAAUAAAACUAAUUCAAAUGGUCAUAAUAAACUAUGUGAACGGACAAUGAUUCCUCAGAAAUACUCCUGCAUUGAUUUGGACACGCAAAACAAAAACAAAAAAAAAUGACGAAUAAUGCCGUAAUUGGACGGUAAUCCGCAGAAAGAAGAAGACCCAUGGGAAGGCAGGAAAAAUGCUGAAUGAAUGAAACACUACGAGACCUUGAGGGAUAGCGGAAUAAAUAUUACGGACUGGAUAAAAAAGAUUCACGACGGAGAAAAUUUGAGGACACUGAUGGUGGGAGCUAAAACUCUUACGGAGUUAUGAAGUCGUAUGUCGAGGUUGAUGAUGAUGAUGAUGAUG